AAGUUUAAAAAAAAAAAUCUUACUGGUGCAACCUUUAAGUGAAUUCGCUCCUUAGAACAUCAUUCUUGUUCAUAGCGGUCAUAGCAACCAGAUAUUUAAUUUACUAGCAACUAGAAAAGUCGGGGAGCACAGACGUUCCAUUCUACGUGUUAACAAACACACCACACAGCUGACUUCUGUUUUCACUGACAUCUUCAAUUGCUUUCUUCCUCUAUUUGUUUUGAUUUUUAGAGGAGUGCUCUGUGGAAAUCAAAAACGUCAAGUGAGAACGACUUCUCAACAUUCACAUCCUUGGCUAGGGAUGGAAUACAACCUCAUUUCAGACUCCAUAGAUUCAUUUCCCUUUCCAAAACAAAGCAGCAGAUCAGUGAUUCCUUUUCCUCUUUCAUACUGCUUUUUGAUUUCGUGAGGUAGUGCGAUUAAAGCGCAAAUGCAAUGCUGCUAACUGGCUUGAUUUUCAGAAGGAUUGAGCUUUGAUCGAUACACUUAAGCCCGGGUUGGCCGAGUAGACGCAAGCAUGCUUUUUCAAUGAGGUGGUGUAAAUAAAAUUAGAUUUUUGGACGUUGAUUAAUCAGUUAUCAAAGUAGUUGCGGCACUACUGAUUGGUUAGGCGAAGGAACUCUCUGGUGGAGAGCAGAAAGGUAGCGAACAAACACGAACGCAGGUGAAUGGCUGCAGAGGAAAGUGUGAUCUGUUUCGAAUUCAGCAGAAACUCAAAGACAGACCUUCCAGUUUACAAGCUGUUACAAAAGGAAAUGCAUUCUCCUUUUAAAUGCAUUCACUGAGACUGACUAGAAACAGACGGUUGAAGAGAUUAAUGCUUCGCAGGCAAUGGUUAGGCAACAAACGGGAUUUCAGAUCUGAUAUUAGUGCUGUCGUUACUUUAUAUUUCGAUUGUGAAAUUAAAUUGCCAUGUUUACUUGGCAAGAGUGGCCCAUCAUUACGGUAACAUAUUGGUCAGUGAUGAGAUGCUCAUUUUUAUUAUUCAUUUAUUUCUUUAAGACAUUUCAGGCAAAACCAUUGUUUUUUUCAGGCACUGGUCAAUUUUGAGAUUUUGGGCCAUUGUGCUUUCAUAACUCGACCUCUUUCAAACCAGUGGAAAGAAAACAUCCAGAAUGCACAGUUAAAUGACUGUUUUAUUACACUUUAUAUAUUUGCGUCUGCGUAUUUCAAUUACAAUACAUAUUUUUAAAGGUAAUUUUCAUAAAAUUAGUUUAUAUAUCUUUUUUUCCUAAAAUUUGUAUUUUUUUUCCCUGGCUAUUGACAGUACUUUUUGAUUUAUGGAUUCAUAAAAACAGGGAAUCUGUCAAAUAAUCUGUCAACAAGAUGAAGAAAGAAUUUUGAACCUGGCUUUAUCCAAUGUUUAGAUUUCUGUUCUAGAAAUAUAAGCAAAGUAGUGCAUACCCGAUUAGCUAAUGCCCCGUUUGCGUAUCAAAUCUAUUGUCUUAAUGUACUGUUUUCAAUCAAGUAUGGCGAUAUUUAUCAGUUAAACUAUUUUCCCUAUAGUGCCUCGCCAUAAAAAUUCAAUGCAUAAAGAAUGUCUUGUAUAUUGUCUGUAAUGAACAUGCUUUCAGUUUCUGAUUCAAAAUUCACUUUGCAUUCCAUUUGAUCAUUUUGUGGGGCUUAAAGUCAAAAAAUGUCUACUUGGUGUAACUGUAACCUGGUCUGCAACCCAUUUACUUGUAUAAUAUAUCAUACUUUCAUGUUCAGAAAUUCCCGAAAACCAUUUAAAUGGUUAAUAACUACCCCAGUUCCUGCCUGGAUUCCCCGCUGCUGUCCAAUGACUUCUGUACUAGAACACAAAGCAGCAGUAAACGGUGGCAAUGAAGUCAGUGAUGGUUUGUGGUAGUGCCGUACCCUGUAAAUCUGGUCAUUACUGCCACUGUGCAUCAGUAAAAGCACUAAACCUUUGAAAACGGCACAGAGAGAAACAACAGGAACAUCCUUGGUUUACAAGCAGACUCUAGUACAUGCUUAAAAUUCUUCAGUUUGUACUCAAGAUCGAGUCUCAUAAACAAACACAUAAAGUUUAAUGCUUCCCGGGUAAAUGUUAGCGUGACUGCUGUGUGAGCUGACAUCCCUACUGAUACAAGCCGCGUUUCCAUGACCCGUCGUGCCCACCAGCAUACGCUGAGAUCGGCGUCUUGACCAGAUGCAAACGGCUGUUACACAACUCAAAUGUGGCAUUAGUUGUUUGGCAAUCAAGCAUCAUUGUGUCAUAUGAAGCUUGUAAUACUUCUCUGUGGAACAAUAAGCAAGAAUGUAACAUUACCUAGACUAGAUAGAAGAACUAGAAAAACAAUUGUUCACCGAAAUAUGAAAAUUUGCUGAAAGAGUUUGCAAUCUGGGCAUAUUUCUCUUCCUGAUUCAGAAAAGUUUAGAAAGCAGUAAUAUGGAUAGAGGGCUCAUAUUUUGGUCAGAAGUAACAGUUUGAAGUUAAAAACAUCUUAACAAUGGAUUUAUUUCUUACAAACAUGCAGAUUUUCACUUCUUUAAAUUUACUGGUGUACUGGAGUGGUGUGGAUUAUUGUGAUGUUUUCAUCAGCUGUUUGGACUCUCAUUCUGACGGCACCCAUUCACUGCAGAGGAUCCAUUGGUGAGCGAGUGAUGGAAUGCUACAUUUUUACAUGUCCAAGCUACUAAACUUUAUCAUUUCUGAUUUAUUUUAGGAAAAGGUCAGAAUAAUUUCUUUAUCAGCACGAUUAAAAAAAUAAUUUUUGAGCUGUAAAGUAAAAACUAAAUUAUUGGUGGAUGUUUUUUAAUCUUUCUACUUGAAAACGUAAUGUUUCACUUAAUGUUUUUUGUCAUUUUUUUCAUUAAUUUUUUUUAUUUGCUAGCAAUUUCUCAGUGAAAGUUGUUCAUACUCAAAAACAAUCAGUAAGGUGCAAAGGAUCAGAUUUCAUCUGAUUUUGAUUGCAUCCAAUAAAAACACACAGUUCCAAAUGUUCCAUGUGGCUGCUGCAAAUGCAUGACCUCUGUGACCCCGCAUGUUUGCAGUGGAAUAGACUGUUAUUUGGAGAUGAAUAAUUAUGCUGUUUCUGUUCUUAUUUAGGAUGCUGUGUUUGUGCACAUGCUGUGUCGAUCGGCCGUGUCUCACCCUGCUCGAUCGUUCACAUCUGUGGAGAUGAAAGGCGAGGGAGAGAAAUGCUUUCAUAUGCCAAAGGAAGCAUUUCAUUGCACGCUGUGCUAAACCAACAAGACUACAUGUGUGCAUCACACUCCAUUAUUUGAGCCACCCAGACAGAAAGAGAGCCAGUCAAGAAGGACAAAGUUGCAUCACAAUCCGCAUGCUAAAUAUAUAUCAUACGGGUCAUUCCCAGGUUCAAAAGUUUGGAUCAGUAUGAUCAUUGUUUCGUUUUGUUUUUUUUUAAGAAAGGAAUACUUUUAUUCAGCAAGGGCCAAUUAAAUUGACCAAACAUGAUAGUAAAGGCAUUUAUAAUGUUACAAAGGAUUUCAAAUUCUGUUGUUCUUUUGAACUUUUUGUUCAUCAAAAAUCCUGAAAAAAAAAAAACUGUUUUCAUCAGUGGUAAUAAUGAGAAACAUUUCUUGAGCAGCAAAUCAGGAAAUUAGAAUGAUUUCUGAUGUAUCGUGACACUGAAGACUGGAGUAAUGAUGCUGAAAAUUCAGCUCUGAUCACAGGAAUAAAAAAGCAUUUUAAAAGAUAUUCAAAUAGAAAACAUUUAAAAUUAUAAUAUUUCAGAAUACUAGUUUUUGCUGUAUUUUUGAUCAAAUAAAUGCAGCCUUGGUGAGCAGAAGAGACUUCUUUCAGAAACUAUAAACAAUCUUUUAUGCAAUUAUUGUCUAUGUACUGUAUGUCUAAAUAUAUUAGAUAAAAUAUUACACUUAAUUCAUUAUUAGAAAAACUGACCAUUUAUUUGAACAUUUUCAGUAAUUGAUUUUCUUGUCUCAUUCUCAUUUAUUAGUCAUCUUGUUAUCCUGUUAGUCUCUAAUAUUUAGAAUAGCAUAUUAUUUCUCUUGCUGUAUUACUGUGUUUUCUGUCAUAUUCUGCUUUUCCAAUUUCAGCCAAUGACACAGUUUUUGAUGGUUAAACCAAGUCGUUGAUGUUUUGUUGGUUAGCGUCAACAUCUUUCUCCAUGGACGGCCAUUCAGCACAAACACAAAGGUGUACUUCUCAAGUAAUAGAUCUGACCGUGGAACAAGGCGAGCCGUCUUCUGUGUGCUAACUAUCCUGCGGUUGCUUUGGAGAAGCAGGCAUUUGCCAGAAGACACACCUAAUCAUUUCUUCUCCUUGAGUCAGCAUCUGACGCAAGUGGAAAGUGUUUCUGUCAGAAGAUAACAAAAGAUCUCAGUCGAUCGUCUCCUGCAGUCUGACUUUAAGAGUGCUCCAAAUGCAUCAUCGUGGCAUGUUUGUGCUUCCAUUGAAUGGUGCGUCCAGGUCCAGUGAAUGCGCUCAUGCAUAUUCUAAAUGAGCAGGAUUUUUACAUUACAAUGAACUCUGUAACUGAGAGUCCAUGUGUUACAAGCCAACUAAAACUCAAAGCACUUACAGAAUGAACAAAUAUAAGACUAAAGAAGGCACUGAUUAUGCUAACAUCUUUUUACAUUUACAAAUAAACAGUUAUUUUUUGUUUUGUUUUAUUUAUUUUCACAUUUUGAUGUCAAUUUCUUUUUUUAAAAGCCAUCUGAAAACGUUUUAGAGUUCAGCAUGGCAAUCUUUUUAUUUCUAUACAUUUUUAUUUUUAUGUCAGUAUUUUUGUUUGUAAUAUUUUCUUAAUAGAGCUAUCUGAAAAUAUGUUGAACAUUUUGUGUUUCUACGUGGCAAACUUUCUGUACAUUUAUAUACUUUUUCAAAUGUUUGUUAAUUUUUUUUCUUUCUGAAAAUGUAGACAUUUUAUGGUUCUCUUUGGCAAACUGUUUAUUUCUGUACUUUUUUCCAAUGUUUGAUGGCAAUGUUUAUUUUUAUGUUGUUAGAAAGAUAUCUGAAAACGUGGGGGAUGUUUUGUGAUCUGCAUGACAAACAAGUUUUUAUUUCUAAAUAUUAUUGGUUUAUUUAUAUAUUACUAUUAUUAGUAUUUUAAUUUUGAUAUCAACUGUAAUGUAAUUUUAUAAAGUUUUCUGAAAAUGUGUUGGACAUUUUGUGGUUCUGCAUGUCAAACUGUGUUUUAUUUCUAUACAUUUCCAUAUUUUACAUUUUGAUGUCAAUAUUUAUUUUUACAAAGCUAUCUGGAAACACGGGAUGGACAUUUUGUGGAGCUGUACAACAAAAUUAAAAUCUGUUUUGACAGCUGUGUUAAUUGUUGUGACAAAACUGUGCUUAGUUUAGAUAAAUAUGUCUAAUUAGUUGAGAUAAACAAUGUUGUAAUAUUAAAUCUAAAGCCCAGAUAUGCUUUAAAAAGUCCAAAUCUAUACACGCCUCAACCGAGAUCUGACGCAGAUCUGAAUCAUACAGCGCAGCUGUAGACAAACAUGUGGACAGAUCUGUACGUGUACUCGAUGAUUAAGAGUGGUCAUGCCUUCUGGACUGUUAUCAAUAAAAUAUUUAAUAAACAUGGUAACAACACAUCCUUAAACAGCA